GACGAACGCUGGCGGCGUGGAUUAGGCAUGCAAGUCGAACGGUAUCAUCCUUUCGGGGGUGAGAGAGUGGCGAACUGGUGAGUAACACGUAGGUUAUCUACCCUCAAGACGGGGACAACCCAGGGAAACUUGGGCUAAUACCGGAUGUGAGCAACUUUUAGUUGUUUGAAAGGUGGCGUAAGCUGUCGCUUGGGGAUGAGCCUGCGUCCUAUUAGUUAGUUGGUGAGGUAACGGCUCACCUAGGCAAUGAUAGGUAGGCGGCCUUAACGGGUGGUCGCCCACACUGGGAUUGAGAUACGGCCCAGACUCCUACGGGAGGCAGCAGUCGAGAAUAGUCUACAAUGGUCGGAAGACUGAUAGUGCGACGCCGCGUGAACGAUGAAUCCCUUCGGGGUUAAAGUUCUUUUAUAUGUGAGCAGUGCUUCUAUAUUAACAGUAUGGGGAGAGAGAUAUUAGCAUAUGAAUAAGCAACGGCUAACUCCGUGCCAGCAGCCG
rnacentral:rRNA from 1 species